rnacentral:rRNA from 1 species
UACGAAGGGGGCUAGCGUUGCUCGGAAUUACUGGGCGUAAAGGGCGCGUAGGCGGACGAUUAAGUCGGGGGUGAAAGCCCAGGGCUCAACCCUGGAAAUGCCUUCGAUACUGGUCGUCUUGAGUACGGGAGAGGUGUGUGGAACUCCGAGUGUAGAGGUGAAAUUCGUAGAUAUUCGGAAGAACACCAGUGGCGAAGGCGACACACUGGCCCGUUACUGACGCUGAGGCGCGAAAGCAUGGGGAGCGAACAGG